CAGAGGGGUGCAAGCGUUAAUCGGAAUUACUGGGCGUAAAGCGCGCGUAGGUGGUUUGUUAAGUUGAAUGUGAAAGCCCCGGGGCUCAACCUGGGAACUGCAUCCAAAACUGGCAAGCUAGAGUACGGUAGAGGGUGGUGGAAUUUCCUGUGUAGCGGUGAAAUGCGUAGAUAUAGGAAGGAACACCAGUGGCGAAGGCGACCACCUGGACUGAUACUGACACUGAGGUGCGAAAGCGUGGGGGAGCAAACAGGAUU
rnacentral:rRNA from 1 species